CCCAUUUCCUUCAAGCAGCAACAGCAGCAGCAGCAUCGCCAGGCCUGGCAGACGAACAACACAAAACAUAUGCGGUCAGAGGACAGAGAAACCGUCGCAGCUAAGCCACGUUUCGGAUUGUCCGACAAUAGUCGCGCAAAAACUGGAUGCCCAACAAGCCGCCGGAGCCUCACUGAUGGGCGUUCAUCGCUAACCUGCAGCCGCAUCUGCCCGACGCCUCAGCGGUAUCUCCUGGCUCUGAUGUUACUAGCUGAACAGUGACCACUGCCUGCCCAAGGACUCCUGCUUCCCAACUCCCCCUCAUCAUGUCUGGGAUCCAUCAGGUGCCAUGG